GCCACAUGUGAAUCCCUCAUCUUGUGUGUUGGAGCCCAACUUGAUUACCUGGCAUCAUCAGAUCAAAACUUUAAGGACCAAAAAACUCUUCUCUUCUCCAUCAUCACACUGCUGUUCUUUGGGUGCUAACCACUGCUGGCCUGUUUGAAGGUAUACCCUUACUGUGGCAGUCUUACAGGGGAAAGCAAGAGGAUCACCAAGAGACAUUUAAUACAUGUUUGGCAACCAACAUACCUGCACUGAAACACAGCCCUGCAAU